rnacentral:rRNA from 1 species
ACGCGCCGGCUAAUACCUCGUACGCUUGCCGGGCCGCAUGGUCUGGUAAGGAAAGGUAGCUUCGGCCAUCCGGCGAGGGAUGAGCCCGCGGUACAUUAGCUAGUUGGUGGGGUAACGGCCUACCAAGGCGACGAUGUAUAGCUGGUCUGAGAGGAUGAUCAGCCACACUGGGACUGAGACACGGCCCAGACUCCUACGGGAGGCAGCAGUCGGGAAUCUUGCACAAUGGGCAAAAGCCUGAUGCAGCAACACCGUGUGAGCGAGGAAGGUCUUCGGAUCGUAAAGCUCUGUUGUUGGGGACGAAGGGCGAAGGGUUAAUAGCCCCUAGCCUGACGGUACCCUUCGAGGAAGCCCCGGCUAACUACGUGCCAGCAGCCGCGGUAAUACGUAGGGGGCGAGCGUUGUCCGGAAUUAUUGGGCGUAAAGAGCGUGUAGGCGGCCUGGUAAGUCUGCCGUGAAAACCUGGGGCUCAACCCUGGGCGUGCGGUGGAUACUGCUAGGCUAGAGGAUGGUAGAGGCGAGUGGAAUUCCCGGUGUAGCGGUGAAAUGCGCAGAUAUCGGGAGGAACACCAGUAGCGAAGGCGGCUCGCUGGGCCAUACCUGACGCUGAGACGCGAAAGCUAGGGGGAGCAAACAGGAUUAGAUACCCU